GAAGGUGUAUCUAGAAAGACAAAUUAGAGCUUGAAAAGUAAAGCAUUUCAUUUACAUUGAAAAGUAUAUUGUGUAAUUCAAUUUAAUUUGAUAAUAAAAAUUUAUUAGUUUUUUUUGUUUAGAAAUUUAUUUAAUAAAAUUAAUUUUAAGUUAAUUUUUUUUUGUAUAAUAUAUAGAUCAAAUAAUUUAUAUAAUAGUUAAUUAGUAUUGUAAAAGAAUAUUGAAAUAUAUGAAAAAGUUUUAAAUUAAAAGUAAAUUUUAUAUAUUGUACCUUGUGUAUCAGGGUUUAUUAAUUAAAAGUUAAAAAUAUUUAAUUUUUCUCGAAUUUAAGAGGGUUAAUUUAUUAUUUAAUUUUUUGUUUCAUAAAAAUUUAAAAUAAUAAAUUAGAAAUGAAAUGUUAUUCGUUCUUAAAUAUAUCUAGUUUUUUAAGAAAUAAAUUAAAUUUAGAUUAUUGAUAAAUAAUUGUUUAUUUAAAUAAUAAAUUAUUAUUAAUAAUUAAUAUUUUAAGGGAUAAGCUUUAAAGUAAGUUUUAUAAUAAUUUUUUAAUUUAAAAAUUAUAGGUUUAGAAAUAGUCAUUAAUUAUAAAAGUGUUAUAAUUUAUUUUAAAUUAAAAAUAAUUUUUAUUAAUUUAAGUUUUUAUUAAAAUAAUUUUUAAAAUUAUAUAAAAAUUAAAAUAAUGAUAAAAUUAGUAUAUUUUAAUUGUUAAAAAAAAAUAAAUUGAAAGGUUAAAUUAAGGAACUUGGCAAAUAAAUACUCGCCUGUUUAACAAAAACAUGUCUUUUUGAUUAUAAUUUAAAGUCUAAUCUGCCCACUGAAAAAUUUUAAAGGGCCGCGGUAUU
rnacentral:rRNA from 1 species